ACGAUGUACUGUCUUUGUGCUAAGGUGCAUCUAGUGCAGAUAGUGAAAUAGACUAGCACCUACUGCCCUAAGUGCUCCUUCUGGCAUAAGGGGCUGUAAUAUG
rnacentral:pre_miRNA from 1 species